rnacentral:rRNA from 1 species
CCGGCGCACGGGUGAGUAACACGUAUCCAACCUGCCGUCUACUCUUGGACAGCCUUCUGAAAGGAAGAUUAAUACAAGAUGGCAUCAUGAGUCCGCAUGUUCACAUGAUUAAAGGUAUUCCGGUAGACGAUGGGGAUGCGUUCCAUUAGAUAGUAGGCGGGGUAACGGCCCACCUAGUCUUCGAUGGAUAGGGGUUCUGAGAGGAAGGUCCCCCACAUUGGAACUGAGACACGGCCAAACUCCUACGGGAGGCAGCAUG